AAAAAAAAAAAAAAAAAAAAGUUAGAAAGAGCUCUACUCAAAUCCUUUCAAAGUGUUUCCACUCGUUCUCACUCUCUCCGAAUCCCUUUGUCUGUCUCUCU
rnacentral:ribozyme from 1 species